AGAGUUUGAUCCUGGCUCAGGAUGAACGCUAGCUACAGGCUUAACACAUGCAAGUCGAGGGGAAACGACAUCGAAAGCUUGCUUUUGAUGGGCGUCGACCGGCGCACGGGUGAGUAACGCGUAUCCAACCUGCCCACCACUUGGGGAUAACCUUGCGAAAGUAAGACUAAUACCCAAUGACGUCUCUAGAAGACAUCUGAAAGAGAUUAAAGAUUUAUCGGUGAUGGAUGGGGAUGCGUCUGAUUAGCUUGGUUGGCGGGGUAACGGCCCGCCAAGGCUACGAUCGAGUAGGGGUUCUGAGAGGAAGGUCCCCCACAUUGGAACUGAGACACGGUCCAAACUCCUACGGGAGGCA
rnacentral:rRNA from 1 species